GCCCCCAUCGUCUAGCGGUCUAGGACGCCGGGUUCUCAACUCGGAAACGCCGGUUCAAUUCCGGCUGGGGGCGCCA
rnacentral:tRNA from 1 species